rnacentral:lncRNA from 1 species
AUGCUCCUGGGGUCCUCCAGCAUCCCACAAUUCCUUUGGGGUCCUCCAGUAUCCCAUAAUGCCCUUGGGGUCCCCCAGUAUCCCACAAUGCCCCGGGGUCCUCCAGCAUCCCACAAUCCCCCAGGGUCCCCCAGUAUCCCACAAUUCCUUUGGGGUCCUCCAGCAUCCCAUAAUCCCCCCAGGGUCACCCCAAAAUCCCACAAUGCCCCUGGGGUCCCCCAAUAUCCCACAAUCCCCUGGGGUCCUCCACCAUCCCACAAUCCCCCGGGGUCCCCCAGUAUCCCACAAUGCCCUGGGGCCCACCUGCAGGCAGAGGUAGACGUGGGUUCCGGGGCCGGCCGGGGCCCCCACCCAGCCGGGCCCCAGCUCUGGCUCCGCCCCCUGGGGGAGGAGCCUCAGAGGCCCCGCCUGCGCCAGGGCCUGGAGGGCGGGGCCGAGCUCCCGAAACGCCGCCCUCAUCUCCUCCGGGCACCGCACGGCCACUGCGCAAAGCAUGCUGGGAUAGCCCCGCCUCCAAGAUGGCCGCCCCACCAAUCACCUUCCUGCCCUCAGGAUAGCCCCGCCUCCAAGAUGGCCACCCCACCAAUCACCAUCAAGCCCCGCCUCCAAGAUGGCCGCCUCCACUGGGCGCCGCCAUCUUAG